rnacentral:rRNA from 1 species
UACGGGGGGAGCAAGCGUUGUUCGGAUUUACUGGGCGUAAAGGGCGCGUAGGCGGCCACGACAAGUCACUUGUGAAAUCUCCGGGCUUAACUCGGAACGGUCAAGUGAUACUGUCGGGCUAGAGUGCAGAAGGGGCAACUGGAAUUCUCGGUGUAGCGGUGAAAUGCGUAGAUAUCCGGAGGAACACCAGUGGCGAAGGCGGCCUUCUGGGAUGCUCCUGACGCUCAGACACGAAAGCUAGGGGAGCGAACGGG